GACGAUAAUUUUCCGCCGCGAUCGGUGUUUCGUUCACGAUUUCAGUCACAAGAGUGUUGCGACCACUAAUAUCCACCACCACCACCACCACCACCACUACUGAGCAUCACCACUACUCCAAUCACCACCACCACCCUCACUGUAUUAAUAUCACCACCACCACCACCACUUUCACUACAUUGAUAUCACCACCACUUUCGCCACACUGAUAUCACCACUGCCACCUUCGAAACACUAAAUCCACUAGCACUGACAGCACAGUCACAGCGAGCAACACUAAUAAAGACUACCACUAAUAUCAAAAGCGCUACUACUACAACUGUCACCACUGCAAUCACCCUCACCACCAUCACUACUGCUGCUGCUCCAACUGCAACUAGCUUGCUGCUGCUACUGCUACUGUAGCUGCUGCUGUUGCUCUACUGCUGUUUCCACCGUCCCCACCAGAGAUGUGUAGCCGGUAGCUGUGACAGAUAUUAUUAGUCAGGUACAACAACACAGGAAGAUAACUCACCACCACCGAUCUUUAAGACAGUCUUCCCUCCAAUAGUGGUCAAGCACGUCACCCCCCACCUCUAUUUGACCGUUGCACUAAUUAAGCCGUUUUUCACCCCCACCACCAGAGCACCAUGGCUUAUAGUUUUGUAGAUAGCUUUUGGGUGAACAAUAUUGAAGAGUACAUAAGUACCACUGGGUUUGACAUUGUCUGGAAGCGAAUGAAAGGUAGCCAAAAGUUGGGCAAAGACAUAGAAGAAUAUCUGAAAUCAUUAGCCAAAAUAGAAAAUGAAUACAGCAAAAGUCUGAAUAGACUAAACAAAGGCUCCGAAGUAGGGGACGAUUUGGGGGUUAUGGGUCAAUCUUGGAUUAAGCUGAAAUAUGAAUUUGAUCAAGUUGCCUCUACACAUGAAGAAUUAAGCGCUAUGCUUUCUUCUCAAGUUGAGAAAAUUAAGACAAUGAAUGAUAAUCAGGAUGAAAAGAAGCGAAAAUGUAAAGAGGCAGUAAGAAAGUGUCACUCACACAAUUCAUCCUUAUACAACCGGACUUUAAAUGCUGAAAAAGUUUAUAAACAGAAAUUCCUUGAAAAUAUUCAGUGUAAAAAGCAGUAUGAGUCUACAAAAUCUUUUGCGGUUUCUACUAAAGAUACAGAAAAGUUAUUCAACAAACACAUCAAAGCUGUUCAGGGUAAAGAAAAUGCUGAUGCUCUCUACAAGAACCUCGUUGACCAGCUGGAGGAGAGCCAUAAAGCUUUUGAAUGGGAGAUACACCAAGCCCUUAUUGAAUUUCAAAAAUUAGAAGAAGAACGAAUUGAUACGCAACGUAAUCUUUUGUGGGUUGUGUUGAAUGCAAGAUCUCAAGUUUCAGUUGAAGAAGAUAAGUGUUAUGAAAAUGUUCGUAAAAUAUUGGAACAGUGUGAUAUUCAGCGAGAUAUAAUAGACUUCAUUUCUAAUCAUCAGACAGGAAGUACACGGCCUGCUUAUUUAAAAUACCACAAUCUUGAAGAAACAAGGAAGGAAAUACAAGUUUCACAUGCUCAAGAGUCCCUUUCAGAUGGAGAUUAUUGUUCAAUUCAGUUCCCAAGCUCUAAAAAAUUCAACUUGGAUUUUGUUCACUCAAACUGACGCCCAUUCACCAUUAACAUGUAUACACGCUUGAAUGAACAAGAUGGCAUUGAGAGACAAUGAUCCAUAAUGGGAUGUGAAUGUUCACCAGACCAUUAAAUGGAAGUUUGCGGUCAUGUAAUAGCAGUGGAUGCUUGAGAAUUCUUUAUGUGAUAUACUGAUAUAUUUGUCCAUGAAGAUAGCUUGCAUUUUGUCAAGUCUUCUAUUUUUAACUUGAAUACUUUUUAAACUUUGAAAUCAGGAUUAACUUUUGUGAAGUGUGCAAUGAGAAUCAUUUUUACCAUUCCCAUCAUUUGUGAAGCAUCAGAUCAAUGUUGCCAUCGUUAGACAGGAUGAACCUAUCAUUAUACCAUUAUUUCAUUUAUAGAUCCUUACUUAAUAUCCUAGAAAUCAGAAAAUAUAUUGUUACCAAACAUGACUCAUCAGUGACAAUCUAUUAAAAUAAUUACCUCUUGGGUUUAAUUUUUUAAUUUUUAUUAUUAUUUUAUUUUUUUUUGCAUCUAAUUCCUUUUUUUUGUUUGAGGGUUUUUAAUAAUUUUGCAAUGUUGGGAAAUUUUGUUUUGUUUUCAUAUUUGUUUUGCAUUUAAUUCAAUCUUUCCGUUGUAAAUAAAAACGUAAUUACUGUUGUAUCAGGGUUAAUACAAUUAAUCCUACCGUGUUUAUAUUUUCACAGAUUCUGUAGGAAAUAAUCUUCAUGAAUAACGUCAACUUCUUCAGUUAAUAUAUAUUAGAAUAUUUGUUGUGCAUAUUGACAUAAAAACAGAACAAAACCUAGUGAUCUAAAUAUUUCUUCACAUUUAUUAUUGCCGAUUCAGCUGAACAAAACAAACAUCACUAUCCAUUAGCGUGAGAAGGCAAUCAUUUCUCUCUAUUUUAAAAUGCUUCCAUUAACUCUUUUAUAACACUAACUCGACUGAAUGUUAUUCUCUACUGAUUAAAAAGACAUCUAAGAACAAUUUUGAAAAAAAAAAAAAAUCUUUUAGCCAGUAAUUAAGUUGUUUAUAACUAGCGUGAUGUGGUAGAACACCAAUAUCAAACAGUAUGCUAUCCUUGUUUUGAGGUAUGGAAGGAGUGGGGAAGGAGACAUGGAGUGGUGGGGGGAGUACAUUGUCAUGUAUAAAUAGUAUGAAGAUUGGUUGCUGUUUUUUUUUUGUUGUCUUUUUCCUGUUCCUGUAGAUUGUAGUUACUGCAGUCAACAGUAUCAUAUUAUAGUGGUAGUUAGUUAUGUUAGGUAAAAAAAGGAGGUGAAGGAAUGUUUUUUUUUUGUUUAUUGUUAUUAAUUCCAUUUGUGUAUAAAUUAAUUCUGUUCUGAACCACUUUGGGAAUCAAAGUCCUGGAUUUCUUACAUUUCUCUUGGUUUGCUUUUGUCUUGAAAAGAAAGCUUUCAUGCUUGUUAUACUGGAGUAAGACAACAUCGUUUGAAGGAUCAUUUUCAUUAGCAUGUAUUUCAAAUUUGGACUGUUGUUGCUGGCAACUCAUCCUGAACAAAAGAACUCUGGCACUAGUUUCUAUUAGUUGUGGGUGAAGGGGACAAACUACUGUAAUUUCCCCUGUUCGUCUUCAUUGCUGAUAAAAGUUGCUCUGCCUUCAGAAACUCAACAACAUUUGUGGAGUCCUUAACAGUUGGAGAACAAAUAGUUUGUCUUCUUUCUGGUAGGAAUGAGUCAGAUUCUUUGCUGGUUUGUGUCUGUAGCAGAAGACAUCAUAAAUCAUAGACAUUCCCAAACAUAUCCAGUCACUCCUAGUCCUCGAAAUGGAAAGUGUUUAUUUUUAACAAAAUACUGAAGUUAUUAGACCGUCCUAUUAACACUUUCAUAUUAAUGUCCAUAUAUAAAAAUGCUGGAAUUCAUUAUAAUAAUUCAGAAUGUUGGCAUGACCCAGGCAAGUCCUAGUCUAUUGUUUGAAAAUAUAUUCAAAAGAGAAAAACAAAAACCAAAAAAAAAAAAAACCAAAAAAAAAAAAAACUAAAAAUAUACAAAAA